rnacentral:rRNA from 1 species
UACGUAGGGGGCAAGCGCUGUCCGGAAUCAUUGGGCGUAAAGCGCGUGUAGGCGGUUCGAUAAGUCUGCUGUGAAAGUCCAGGGCUCAACCCUGGAAAGCCGGUGGAUACUGUCAGACUAGAGUGCGGAAGAGGCGAGUGGAAUUCCCGGUGUAGCGGUGAAAUGCGCAGAUAUCGGGAGGAACACCAAUUGCGAAGGCAGCUCGCUGGGACGUUACUGACGCUGAGACGCGAAAGCGUGGGGAGCAAACAGG